rnacentral:rRNA from 1 species
UACAGAGGUCUCAAGCGUUGUUCGGAUUCAUUGGGCGUAAAGGGUGCGUAGGCGGCGCGGUAAGUCGGGUGUGAAAUCUCGGAGCUUAACUCCGAAACUGCAUUCGAUACUGCCGUGCUUGAGGACUGGAGAGGAGACUGGAAUUUACGGUGUAGCGGUGAAAUGCGUAGAUAUUCGCAAGAACACCAGUGGCGAAGGCGGCUCACUGGCCCGAUACUGACGCUGAUGCACGAAAGCGUGGGGAGCAAACAGG